CAAUGCCUUUGCGCUUUAUAUUAACGAAUACUCAUCGUCUGUCACAUGACUGCAAUUAGGACACAUGAGAGCCUGAGAGCCCAUAUUAGGAAAGCAUGUAUGAGUGGUGUGAACUACCAAGUUUUCUCUCAGGUCCAGCUACUUACAAGACUUAUCCUAGUUCAUUGCAUUGACCAUCCCACACCAAUCCAACAGAAGCAGCAAACAGACUGAACUCUUGCUAGCAAGAUUAGGAGUCCGACUGAGAAUGGAGUGGAGAGCAGGUAGAGCAGCCUUCACAUGAUCACGGACAUUUCUUUCAAAACAUAGGCGGAAGAUUUCCAUCAUAGCUUAAUUAAAAAGAAGAGAACUGCCCAAUGAUUUAAUGAAAAAAACUAGGUGAAAACCGAUGCAAACAAACCACCUAUAGACUACUCACAGAGCAUAUGAUCUCAUGACCUCGCACUUAAAUCUACAAACUCUCAAGAUGCGCCAUGAGCAUAAACCUGUGACAACUGACAACUCUACAUUACAAAGGAACCUCCAACAAAGACACCUCAAUUGAAAAGAACGAACACCACCAAAUACACAGUGGUGAGCCUAACCAUGAAGUUAAUCCAUCAAGUAGCCACGGAUGCCAUUCCGCUGGAACCACUCUUCCAAACUUUUCUCUUGACAAACUUCUCUCUUAACAUGCCAGCACGAGGGCACACAUCCAUCUUCUUGAUCUCGCCCCUAGUUGGUGUUCCUCUUCUUCUUCCACUCAACUCUCUUGUGGUUUCUCAAGAGCACAAGAAAACACACACACGCACACAACCAAAGAAGAUGACCAAGGGCUUUGCCCAGAACACUUCCUUGAUGAACACAAAGACUACAUUGUGAUAGUGCCCUCACGGGCUCUCCUCAUAUUUAGUUGUUCAACUUAUAUAGGAGUACAAGACUCAUGUACGCAUAAACUGGACGCCGGCCACUAACAACCUGACCUGCCCACUACAUAAUUCUUAGCUAUAUGCAUGCCCACGACUAGCACUUCCUCCAACGGCCAGCAAAUCUCGCCAUGCACUCAGGACUAAAUUUACUAGGACCUUUUAUCUAGGCUACUAACUAUCUCCACGACUUGACCAAUCUUGCAUGCACUAACAACCACUACUAGCUUUCUAUAUACAUGUGAUCACGUCUCUACGUUCGUACACAACCGCAGCUUUUAGUGUCACGUCUCAACUACAUGCAUGCAUGAUCUAAUCAACUACUUUUAGCAGUAAUAACAAGAUUAGUUCCAACAUUCACCUUCCUAAUCUUGUUAACUUAGUUCUCUCCUGAAGCCCGUGGUCAUCGAUGUCGCCGGUGUAACACGGAGACGGCCGCCAAUGUCAUCUUGUCACGCCGAUUGUCAUCGUUGUCGUUUGCUUCGAUGAGAGCCACACCUCCUACGCCUUCACCACGUGCGUGCCACGUGACACACUUGUUGUCGCAUAUUCGCCACCGGUGCCGCAACUCGCCGAUGACUCGCCUUCAUCUUCGCCACCGGUGUCGCAACUCGCCGGUGACUCACCUCCAUGUUCGCCACCGAUGCCACAACUCGCCGUUGACUCACCUCCAUGUUGUCGACGAUGACGCACCUUGUCGACAACUCGCACAUGGAACUCCUUAUGGCAAUGGCCUCCGCUCCAUGGCCACCACCUCCAUGCCGCCAGUGACACAACUUACCAGGCGACAUACCUUGCUCCAUCACUCGUGAUGCGGCUCGACAAUGAUGAAGACACACACCAGCCGCUAGCAGCAUCACACCGCCAACGGUGUCCACCUUGCGCCACCGACGCCCCCCUCACAUGGAGUCCGCCACGCAGCCACACUGUGUCCGCCAUGGCAACCGCAGCGCCGCGCACCUCCAUAGGCCGACACAUGGUUCGGAGCUUCGUGCGGCCGCCGACGAACGCCGCCCUCGCCGGCACACCUCCGGCAUGGUGAACCACGCCCACGAUAACCAGGCUCAUGAUACCAAUUGUUGGCGCCGCCUCGUCGCAGCGCCCCUCUUCUUCUUCCACUCAACUCUCUUGUGGUUUCUCAAGAGCACAAGAACACACACACGCACGCACACAACCAAAGAAGAUGACCAAGGGCUUUGCCCAGAACACUUCCUUGAUGAACCCAAAGACUACAUUGUGGUUGUGCCCUCACGGCCUCUCCUCAUAUUCAGUUGUUCAACUUAUAUAGGAGUACAAGACUCUUGUACGCAUAAACUGGAUGCCGGCCACUAACAACCUGACCUGCCCACUACCUAAUUCUUAGCUAUAUGCAUGCCCACGACUAGCACUUCCUCCAACGGCCAGCAAAUCUCG
rnacentral:lncRNA from 1 species